rnacentral:rRNA from 1 species
CCAGCAGCCGCGGUAAUACGGGGGGUGCAAGCGUUAAUCGGAAUUACUGGGCGUAAAGGGUCUGUAGGUGGUUUGUUAAGUCAGAUGUGAAAGCCCAGGGCUCAACCUUGGAACUGCAUUUGAUACUGGCACACUAGAGUACGGUAGAGGAAUGAGGAAUUUCUGGUGUAGCGGUGAAAUGCGUAGAGAUCAGAAGGAACACCAAUGGCGAAGGCAACAUUCUGGACCGAUACUGACACUGAGGGACGAAAGCGUGGGGAUCAAACAGGAUUAGAUACCCUGGUAGUCCAUGCUGUAAACGAUGAGUACUAGCUGUUGGAGUCGGUGUAAAGGCUCUAGUGGCGCAGCUAACGCGAUAAGUACUCCGCCUGGGGACUACGGCCGCAAGGCUAAAACUCAAAGGAAUUGACGGGGAUCCGCACAAGCGGUGGAGCAUGUGGUUUAAUUCGAUGCAACGCGAAGAACCUUACCUGGUCUUGACAUCCUGCGAGCUUUCUAGAAAUAGAUUGGUGCCUUAGGGAACGCAGUGACAGGUGCUGCACGGCUGUCGUCAGCUCGUGUUGUGAAAUGUUGGGUUAAGUCCCGCAACGAGCGCAACCCCUAUUGAUAGUUACCAUCAUUAAGUUGGGUACUCUAUUAAGACUGCCGCUGACAAGGC